ensembl:snRNA U6 U6 spliceosomal RNA
GUGCUUGCUUCGGCAGCACAUAUACUAAAAUUGGAAUGAUACAGAGAAGAUUAGCAUGGACCCUGCACAAGGAUUAAACGCAGAUUCGUGAAGCAGUCCAUAUUUUU